GAACAGAAGAUUCCGGGUCUCUUAAAAUACAUAUUAAUCCGCGUUGGCCAUGUAAGUUCAAUCCAUCCCGACUUUUUUUCCUCAUGAAACCCCUUUGGCGCUAACGCCGGAGGGCAGAGUUGAACACGGAAGCUGCCAUUGUUUCAGAAACCCACAGCUGUGAAAUGGAAUCGAGAAGAGGAUGAAAGGAGGGAGGGAGGGGAAAGGAGGACAAGAUUGAGCGGUCAUCGCAGAAGCCACCAGAGUGCUCCUGUGGGUGGGUCGCUCACCUCUGGGACGAUUGUCUCAGACUGAUAGCGCAGCAGCAGCAGCAGCAGCAGCAGGCUCCUCACCACCCAGAGGAGAGGACACUCAUUCACCCUCAGCAAGAAUGAAUUUGGCCCGGAUCCAUGAUAAAUAUAAGCUGAAGAAGUUCUGGGAGCAGAAAAUCGAAAGCCACAGCCAGUUGAUAGGGAAUGAGGAAUCCAGAAUGAAGAUGAGUGCUUUAUCAAAGCUGCGAGAAGAAUGGGUGAGAAGGCUCAAGUUCCAGAACCAACACCAAGAGAGCUUCUAUGAGGAGCGCAUCAGGAGGGCCAAGCAAGCCCAGCUGCCUUUGAAGCUCUAGAACUAGAUGAACUAGAACUGAACUGCAUGUGAAAUUCAUCUGAAGAUUCAGUAAAAUGCUCUCUACUUGCAAUUUCUACAGUGGUUUUCUUGUCAAAGAGAUGUAUUGUAAUAGCAUGUGGGGAAAUAUUAAUUCAUUUCAAUAAGGAUGCAUUCCUCUCAAGACUAAACAAUGGAUGUAACACAAAACUAAUCAGCGACAUUGAUAAUCAGUUAUUAACCAUACAAAAUUAAAUACAGCAGGUUAAAAGCUUGAUUCACGUAAGAUGUCAAAUACAUACUUUAGGUGAAUAUGUUCGUAUAGUCAUUUGUCUACUUUCAUAGCAAAGAUGUAUAAAGUAAAAAAUACAGACACAUCUGGGUAGAGUACAGUCAGGCUUGUAUUGAAGGACCUCCAGCUCCCUCCUGUGGUCAAAUAUACACAAUCUACUUUCCAAAAGAAAAUUGAACUUAUUCUUUUGUUCUCAUUGUGGAAUCACACUUCAAACCUUCAUAACACAUUCUAUAAAAUAUCAAUGUGUUUUCAUAGUGUUCUAUAAAAACGACUCUGGCUAUAUGGUUAUCGGUGAUUCUGCUGUUUAACAUCUAGUCCCACUGUUCUAGAGCUUAGAUGACAAAGUGUCAUUACGACAUGUUACACUAGUUUAUAGUGAGAACAGACUCACCAUUACAUUGGUCAAUUAAAGUAAUUUAUUCAUUUCCAAGCAUAAAUAGGUGAACUAAGGUGGGGAUUGGAAACAAACUGGAAAAAAAGCACAUCAUAAAAAUAAAAAAAGCCAACUUGAGACCGAUUCAAAAAAGAAAUACUACAGACUUAGUCUUCAGAGUGAGUAAGAAAUCUUGUAGCUGUUUUUUUUGCUGCCCAUUUCUGUAAGCCAGCAAAUCAUCACGCAAA